UCCGAAAUUCAAGAUUGCUGGACAGUUACCUUGAGCCAAUUGGACGAAACCGAUCCGUUGUACUUGCGGAAAAAGUUUUUCAAUAAAGUUUGGUGUUUGGUGGUGGAGAUCUUCUGUACUCGAGUACACACCGGAGAAAAGCCAUACAAAUGCAUUUGCUCGAACGAACGACCAUUCGCACAGCUCAAAUAGAUAUUUUACGCUGCACAUCCGGCGGCACACGGAGAAAACGCCGUACGUAACGCCGUAACGAACGAUUCAUCCAGGGGACGGCCUUGCGGCCCAUCAGUGAACCGCAGGUCACUAUAUGAAAGACGUAGAUAUGAACGGUACACGAUGGCGUCACAAUAGUUCGAUUCAGUGUUUGUGUAUUUUUCCUCAAAGCAUGAUGUGUUUUUCGGUGAAUGGAGAGUUCUGCAGGAGGAUGUUUGGCUGACACGGAUGAUGAACUGCAGCUCGAUAAGCAAUUGUAUAGAGAUUCUAUUUGGAAUCCGUUCUAAAUUCUACCAAAAAAUACUUUAGCUUUUCGAUCUUUCUAGGAUUUUAUGUUCCCUUCGGAAUCCUUUCAAGAUUCCAUUUGAAAUUAUGUCGCGAUUCUAUUCGCUAUAUCCUUUCGGAAUUCUAUUCGGUAUUUCGAGAUUCCAUUCGGGAAUCCUCAGAGGAUUGGAAUGGAGUAUUCUCAAAGAACUUCGAAUGGUAUCAAAAGAUUUCAAACGUUAUCCAGAAAUAAUUCCGAAUGGAAUUCAGAAAAAUCCUGCUGCAAUUAAUAGAAUGUCGCAACACUUAAUAAUCUAAAACAUAAUCCUGAAAGCCGUUCCUUAAAAUAGCUAAUUCCAAUGCCAUGGUCAUCGACUAUUCAGCACCAGCGGGUUCCAUUUGUUGCCUCUCGUCGAUUCCAUGGAGCUCGUAUCUCGCAAACAAUCAAUAAUCAAUUUACGGACGUUUCAAUACUGG